GCCUGUUCGAGCGUCAUUAACACCACUCAAGCCUGGCUUGGUAUUGGGGUCCGCCUACCAGCGGCCCUUAAACGCAGUGGCGGCGCCAGUUGGCUCUUCGCGUAGUAAAUCUCUCGCGAUAGCGUCUGCUGGUAGCUUGCCAACAACCCGAUUUUUUUAAGGUUGACCUCGGAUCAGGUAGGGAUACCCGCUGAACUUAA
rnacentral:misc_RNA from 1 species